AGAGUGAGAAAACCAAGCUGUUGAUCGCAGCUCAGAAGCAGAAGGUGGUAGAGAAGGAGGCUGAGACAGAGCGGAAAAAGGCUCUCAUUGAGGCAGAAAAAAUUGCUCAGGUGGCUGAGAUAACAUAUGGACAGAAGGUGAUGGAAAAAGAAA